rnacentral:tRNA from 13 species
CCAUGUCAGGUAGCGCGCCAGCCUUUGAUACUUGAGACCCAGGUUCGAUCCUG